GUGCCGCUAGGAGGCUUCCAGUGUUAUACCCGUGCCCAAAAACCUAGGCUAAUUUCAACUUUUGGACAUAAGUAAUGCAACCCAGGUGACAACCACUAGUAAUUUAUGGAUUUUUCGGGCUUAAAUAGUAAAAUAUGCCAAGAGAUGGGUCCCACACAUUGGAAACACCUUAGAAGGGCCCCAUUCAACUUAAAUAUCCAUUUCCACACAAAGGGACCAAUUCGGCCUUCACCGGUGAACACCUCCAGUGAAUACAUAGGCCAAAACUGGGUUAUUUGGCCAUAGGGCCCGGGCCCUUGCACUUGUGCACCUUAAACCACUCCUAAUAGUUGGGACAACAUAUUGGGGAAUGGAUUAAUAUAUUGAGACACCCCAAUGUGGGCCCAAUAGUGCCAAAUGACGGAUCAACCCAGUAGUGGGUGAAAACCUAUUUUUCCUCCAAACGGUCCUUAGGCAACUUAGUGGCUAUAAAUAGAAGCCCUUGCCUUUCAUUUCUCCACCUAACAAAGAAAAAAAAAAGAAGAGGAAGGAGAAAGGAGAAGAAGAAGAAGAAGGAGAAGAGCAAGGGAGGAGGAAGAAUAGAGGGAGCAAGGGGAAUACUUGCCUACCCAUUUGAGGAUCUUCACACGAGGAAGGCGAUUGGUAGAGGGCGUGGAAAAGAUGGUUUAUAUUAUCUCAACUGUGGCUCUCCUACUUCUUCUGCUGCUACUACUGCUGUUGGGGAUGCUCCUUUCCAAUGGCACUGUCGUUUAGGGCAUUUGUCUUUGUCUAGGUUGAAACUUUUAUUUCCUAGUUUUAAGUCUAUGCUUAGGUUCGAAUGUGAAGCCUGUGAGUGGGAAAAACAUCACCUUGUGUCCUUCCCAUCUCGUUCUGUCUCGUAGUCCAUCUUUAUUUUCUUUAGUCCAUUCUGAUGUAUGGGGUCCUUGCAGAGUUAGUAAUAGAUUUGGUUUUCGUUAUUUUGUGACCUUUGUGGAUGAUCAUUCUCGUCUUACAUGGCUGUAUAUGUUAAAGGACAGAUCUGAAUUUUUAUCUGUGUUCCAGAAAUUUUAUAAUGAAAUAAAAAUUCAGUUUGGCAUUUUAAUUAA